rnacentral:lncRNA from 10 species
AGACCUCGCAAAUCUCGGCGACUGGGACGAGCCCUGCGUUCCUGUCAAACAAAUGUCGGUGGGAGUCUGGCUGAGUGUUCAGGACGUUUGCGAAAAGAAGCCUCGCGCCUGUGGGGAAGCAGCCUUUACGCAUGACUGGGACUGGAGUAGCGUGGAGUUUUAAGAUGCUGAAAGCCUCUUCUCCGAGAAAACUCCCCUAAGAAACUCUCUGAAUCUCCCUAUCUCUCAGUUUAUUCCCCUUCCAUGUCCCUUUGGGUGCCAUCUGGUCUCCAUGAGAACUUAACAGAUGCAACAACAGAGGGCACAGGAUUUCGGAGAUCGUGGCAUAUGUGUCAAGUGCAGAGGGCACAGGAUUUCGGAGAUCGUGGCAAUAUGUGUCAAGUGCAAACUUACGAGGAGAAACCAAUGCACAUUCUCCAGAAGAAAUGAGAACGCAUUUCUGCAUGCCUCCUUCCCCCACCCCUCUGCCUUUGGCCCAGCCUUAUGUUUUAUUUUUUGCUUUUGAUUUUCCAAGGUUACAUCUCUUUCUUCUUUUUUUUUUUUUUUUCCCCAACAGAGUCUCGCUUUGUCGCCCAGACUGUAGUGCAGUGGUGCAAUCACGGCUCACUGCAGUCUCCACCUCCUGGGCUCAACGAUACUCCCACCUCAGCCUCCUGAGUGAGUAGCUGAGACUACAGACGCAAGCCACCACGCCCGGCUAUUUUUGCAUUUUUUGUAGAGACAGGGUCUCACCAUGUUGCCCAGGCUGGUCUCCGACUCCAGGGCUCAAAUGAUGCUCCCAUCUCAGCCUCCCAAAGUGCUGGGAUUACAGGUGUGAACCACCACGCCCAGCCUAGAUUGAAUAAUUUGACAACAAAUUGGAAUUAGCAACGCAGACGUCAAGUGGAGUCUCAGCAGAAAUUGCUGCUGGAAUGCACCUCCAUAGCUCUGGACAGCUCUAGGGUCCCUUGUGGAGGAGGUGGCUGGCCCCAGAACAGGCGUCUUUAUUGCCAAGUGAGAAAUGAGCAAAAACAAAACAACACUUCUCAGGCCUCUCCAGCUUAGCUAGAUCAAAUGGUUUUGAUGUGGGAGAGUGGUUUCCACU